rnacentral:rRNA from 1 species
CCCUGAAUACAUAUUAUCUGAUUUGGAAGCUAAGCAGAAUCAAGCACAGUUAGUAUCUGAAUGGGAGACCACUAAGUAAUAUCAUGGACCUCCAGGUA